CUCCAGGGCAACCGUGGCUUUAGAUUGUUACUGUAGAUCUACAUUGGUAACAGUCUACAGCCAUGGUCGCUCGGGCAAG
rnacentral:pre_miRNA from 1 species